GAAAAGUAAAUGAGAAAGAAAACCUUAAAUCAAGGUUGCAGAAAAGACUGGAAAUGGGCAAGAAACACAAAGAUGUUUCUACUGAGGACAGAAUGGAGAAUGACAGAGGGAGAAAUGAAGAGUGAACUCAGAAAAGAGAGAUGACUGCAGACUGACUGACUGAGAAAGAUAAUAAUGUUAGAUAAAUAUUAAGUCAUUAAAUGCAAACUUAGAAUAUAAUAGGAUAUGCAUAUAAUCAAUUCAGUAUGUAUGAUUUCAUGGUUUCUGUUCAUUAAUUAAUUUUAUCUGUCAAAGACAUAAAAGUCUGUGGGCGGGGCUAACACUGACCAAGGCUAACACUGAACGAAGCUAACACUGGGUGUGGCUAACAUUGAGCGAAGCUAACAUUGAGCUAAGCUAACACUGGAUGUGGCUAACAUUGAGCGAAGCUAGCACUGGGUGUGGCUAACAUUGAGCGAAGCUAACAUUGAGCGAAGCUAACAUUGAGCGAAGCUAACACUGAGCGAAGCUAACAUUGAGCGAAGCUAACACUGAGCGAAGCUAACAUUGAGCUAAGCUAACACUGGGUGUGGCUAACAUUGAGCGAAGCGAACAUUGAGCGAAGCUAACACUGGGUGUGGCUAACAUUGAGCGAACCUAACACUCAGCGAAGCUAACACUGAGCGAAGCUAACACUCACCUGUGGAAAUCUGCUAGUUUAUUCUGAUUCUUUGAACAUCAAUAAAGUCUUUGACUUUAUCUGGCUUUAACCUCUACCGAUUAAAUCUUUCAGUAAUACGUUACUGAAUGAUACCAAGAAAAAUAAAAAAUAUUUAAUUUAAGGUCACAAAAGAUGUUUCUCAUUUGUUGUAGAAUGUUUUCUUUGGCUGAUAACUCUCACUCUUCUGAUUGAAAUUGAUAACUGUGUAUGUUAUGUUUGUUUCACGUUUCACUCACUUUGGGUGACACAGCGCCCCCAGAGGUGAGGCGUAGCACUGCACUGCCUCGCAUGAACCUUUCCAUGUAUUUAAACAGGUAAGGUGUAAAACUUUUGAUAUUACCAAUAAUAAAAACAAAUUAAUGGAAAGGUUUGAGUUUUCCUCAUCGAUGAUGAUGGAAAAUGAUGAUGUUAGCAUGUAUUUAAUUUUUCAUGUGCCAAACGAGGUAAAGCCUCACCUGUAAUCCUGACAGUGGAUCACUGAUGGAUGAUAAUCUGCUGCUUCUUUGCUGUCUAUUAAUUAUAAAAUCUCUCCAAUGAGUUCAGAGGAAAGUUGAGGAGGAGCUGAGAGAAUCUGGGAGGAGCUGAUCUAUUGCUGAACUCUAGAGACUCAAACUUCCUCAGUUCAGUUCAGUUAAACUCUCCAACAUUCACUCUGCUCAACAUGCUGUCUCUGCUCAUCGCCUCUCUGCUAACAGGAGUCAGAUGCCAACAACUCACUGCGCUUCAGAAAGAAGAGUUCGCUGUAGAAAGCAGCAAAGUUACUCUGUCCUACACUUACUCCAAAACAGCCACUGGAAGUGAUUCUUUCUUCUGGUAUCGACAAUAUCCUGGAAAACCUCCAGAGUUCCUGAUCUCCCACUCAGGAACAGGAACACAAACUUCUCAGCCGCUUCCUGGUUUCUCCUUCAACGUGAAUGCUGAUAAAACCCAGAUGGAUCUGCUGAUCUCCUCUGCUGCAGUGACAGACUCUGCUGUGUACUACUGCGCUGUGAAGCCCACAGUGACAGGAAACACAAGAACCCUGUACAAAAACCUGCAGUACUCCACAGCAGCCACUAGAGGGCCUCACUCCCUGUUAAACUACUGAAUCAUGCAGUACUCCACAGCAGCCACUAGAGGGCCUCACUCCCUGUUAAACUACUGAAUCAUGCAGUACUCCACAGCAGCCACUAGAGGGCCUCACUCCCUGUUAAACUACUGAAUCAUGCAGUACUCCACAGCAGCCACUAGAGGGCCUCACUCCCUGUUCGGUUGUCUAAUGUUAGACCAAGCCAAACAUGGUUUUUCUCUUGUGCUGAUGAUCCUGACAGAUUGUUUUAGACUUUCUCAAUGUUUAUUAUCUUAUCUGCCAAAAAUCCCUUCCUAUUCUGUUUUUAGAAAUGAUAAUGAUGGAUUUUCAUUUCAUUUUUCUGCAGCUUAACAUUCAUCAAGCUGAACAGUCGCAUCGUUCCAUCACACACUAAGCAGAUGAAUAAAUGUAAGUACAUAUGAACAAUGAAAUGACUCCAAUUAAUUUAUGAACCAUCACCUGCUGUGGCCUGAAGGCAAAGUCUCACUCUUCUGUGUUCAAUCUAACGUCUAAUUGCUUCAGUGGCUCAUGAUGUUUUGGGCUUUUGCUCCUGGUUGAUUUGAUGAUCUGGAGGCUGAAU